GGAGAAAAAGAAGAGAAGAGUGAAAAGAAACACUUUAUUCAGAGAUGGAAAUACAAGUCAAGUUGAUGUGUUUUAGAAAACCAAAGUAACUACAUUUUACUUAGAAUACCAAAGCAUCUCCAAGUUUGCUUAGAAAACCUAAUUCUAACUUAAAGUAACCCAGCCCAGCUCAGGCCAGCUCAAGGACACGGCCUCACAUGAUUAUCUCUCUCCACUAAAUCGUAUCUAAAGAAACUUGGUUCUCACCGUUCUUUGCUGAGAAGUUAAUAAAACAGGAUGUAACCAAAUAAGGAGUGAUCACCAGAUGAACAAUGAAUCAUUCGCAUGCAUACUAGAUACUUAGUCCACCAUUUUACUGCCACGUAUACUAUGUCAGCAUCAUUCAGAUUGUCUGUAUAAAUGUAAGAUGCACCUAUAACCAAUUUGUAUUCAAUGUGGAGCGUGAGCCCCAUUGUCUACCUGCUUCUGCAGAGCAUUAAACCAAGCCUCUAAUUGAUUCCCACUGUGUCUGUUUGAUUGGCUUAAGGCGGACCCAGGGACGAACUGAAUUCACAUCAAUUUGGUGCCGUGACAGUCGGAUGUGACUCUGGGUGGACAGUCUGACCCAUCACGGGACAAUGAGAUCCAGCGCGCCUCACAGCAUUUUGUCUGUGGAGGAUUCUCAUGGGCCCGGGAUGCGCCAGUCGUCACAACGCGCCACAUCUGGGAAUCAAGGCAAGAGUGAAUGAAAGUGUGAACAGAGAGAGUGAGUGAGUGAGAGAGUGAAUUCAAAGACUUUUUUUGGUUCUCCUCAGCCCAAGAGGGGCAAAGGGGGGGGGAAGCCCAGGGAGGGGCAAUUUUCAGCCCGAGAAAAGGGGGGAAAUCCUACAGCCGAAGAAGGGCUGCCCACGCAGGGGCAAAUUUAAGCCAAAAUCCCGAGAGGGGAGAAAGCCAAAAUCCUGAGGGGGGGGGGCAAUUUAAGCCAAAAAGUCCAAGCAGGGGCGGUUUAAUCUUUCAACUCGAGAAGGGGGAAAGAGAGAGAGAGAAAACAAAACAAAAAAAACCCCACUGCCGAAGUAGGGCUGCCUGGGAAGGAGUGACUUAAGCCAAGAGCCCAAGGAGGGGCGGCUUUGAGUCAGAAAUAAACAGUCUAAGCCCAACCAACUCAAAGGGGGGGCUAUGGGUAGCAGAAAUAGCAAGUACACAAAAUCUGAACGGAUUUCAUGUACACCUUUGGAGUGUGUGUUGAAAAAUUGGGUGAUUAUCAUGGGAGCAAAGAGUGCUCUUAGAAAACAUGUUUUGAAAUGCCUUUGUAUGAAAGUUUGGCCACUAUGAACUCGAGUCAGAGGCCUCCUGACUCCGAAAAUAACAUCCUUUUGCACUUGCCUCUGUUUUAUAAGUGUUAAGGAAGGAAGAAUGAUUGUCUUUUGCAAAAAUCAUUUCUCUCUCUGUGUUCUGUUUCCAAGUUGCUUCCAAGCUUUGCCCGUGUGUUGCAAACAGUCUGCAAACAGUCUCUGCCACUGUCCUGUUGUAACCAAGCCAAAAGAUAACACUGUUCUAGCUGCAAAAGUUUAUCUGAACAAAAGGCUGCUUUUGUUCUCUUUUUCCCUUUUUCUAUCUCUCUUCAACUACUUGAGUUGGAAAAGAGGAAAGAAAAUGGAGUUUUGAAGGAAUGCAUAUGGGAAUUGCAGACAAAAGAAAAUAAAAAAAACCUAGAAGGAAAUACGUAAAAGGAUUUUGUUGGAGGUUGUUAACAACAACAAAAAGAAAAAUGCUUGAAAAGCACCAGUAAGUUAUAAGAUUGUGAUGUGGAAAGGUAAUAUAGAAUUACAGGUUGUUUUCAUGGAUAACUGUGAUAAGGUUGUUCUGUUUAAACUACUUUCUUAACUGAGUUUAUGGCUGACAUAUUUAAAAUGCUAUAAAAUUCUUUGGGAUUCAUAUGAAGUUUUCUUUGUUUAGUCCCUUGUUCUGUGAAAUACACAAGACAAGCCUGUGUGUGUGUGUGUGUGUGUGUGUGUGUGUGUGCAUGUUUCUGAGAGGGAGCCCAAAGCUCUGGUUCUGUAUAGGAAUUCAACCCACAUCAAUUUUAUAGCUCAUCUCUGUGAAGAUGAGGUUUCUGUUGUAUUUAUUCUGUUUAUUCUGUUGUAUUUGUGAAUGUAUUUAUACUAGUGACAUGUUUUGUUUUGUUUUUCCUUUCUGUAAACUGUUCCAGACCAAACUUGCUCUGACAUUGAAUUCCAAAAUUCACAAUUAUUAUAUUAAUUGAACAUAAAAUUGGUCAUGGCCUGAGCAACACAGGGAACUUUCAGCGGUCAGCUGGCCAACUGAGGGCUGAAUCUUCCCACCUCUGCAAAAGUGCUGCUUAUGGAUGGCUAAAUGCAUUAAGCAUGAGAGCAAGCUCUACUUCAUUCAUUCUUAUGUUAAGGUGAUUGUGAUAUUUCUGCCACUACUGAGUAUCAUAAGCCUUUAUAUGUUAUGUUUACUGAAUUCCUUGACAAUGAUCUAUCUUAUCUUACCUAUUUCUGUGAACUCAAGAGGUUCCCUGAAAAGCAGUUUGUGUUCCAGCCAGAUUAAUUGUGGGUGAGAAGGAAAAAUGGAUUUUAAGAUAAAUGAGUCUAAUUGUAUUACUGUCAUGUUUUGCAAAAUCUAUGCAAUAUUUCUGCUAGUUGAAUUUGAUGUAAACUGAAAGCUACUAAUCAAAUGGUCUAAGGUUCAAAAAAUUUUUUUAAUUUGACUCAUCCACCAGCCCUGCUUUGCCUUCACAGCAGCUGAAUCUUAAAAUCCCAGACAUGAGAUUUAAUGAAAGGAAUUUUGUUUUGCCAAUCCUGCAAGUGGCAAGGAGUUCCAAAGCACCGGUUUGCAAUUCACCUUGGAAAUUUCCCAGCUAAAAGGGAUUAGUCUGGGGCAGUAGAUGGCUGACUCCCUCACACAUGACCGAAUAUCAUGUGACUUUGGUGAGGAUCCUGGGGUUUCCAUGGCUACUACUUUGUUCUUAAUCCAGCUAACUUACUUCCUUUUGAGUCUACAGAAGACCAAGAACAUGAUUGCUUGCAAGCUGUGGACUACAUCUAUGCCAAGCCAUUCUGAUCUUAAAGAUGAACUGUACACAGAUGGAGGCAGCUUCAUGUAAGAUGGACAACGUAAGCUGGCCAUGGAGAAGUGACUGACCAUGCUCUUUCUCCAGCACAGCUUGCAGAGCUCAUCACCUUCAAGAAAUGUCAAACCCAAACUUGAAUCCAUCAGUGACUGGUUAAUUAUGAGGCUAAAGAUGGAGAACUGGGACACCACAACUAUCUACACAUUACUGACGAUGAAGUCAGUUAUACUGGAUGGAGACUGAUUGCCCUGACAAAGGACUGUAAGUAUGAUUGUCAGCCAACAUAGUGCAGUGGUUAGAGUGCUGGAUUAAGACCGGGAAAACCCGAGUCCAAAUCCUCAUUCAGCCAAGACACUUGCUGGGCGACACAGAGCCUACAACUCAAAUGAUUUGGCCUGCCUCACAGGGUUGUUGUAAAGAGGAAAAACAGGAUGCAGAAGAGAAUGUGAGAUGCCACAUGGAAACUGGACUUUGUUAGCAGUGACUGUGAUUGACCUGAAAGGCUUUAAUGCCUCCUCAAAACCCCAAACUCACAAGGGGGGGUGAAAAAUGUGAAUGCCUUUUUCUUUUUGACUUUAUUGCUUUGCUAUUGCCCAGGAUUGCUGUUUUGUUCUCAUGAUCAAAAACCAGCCUACAACACAAGCCAGCCAGCCUCCAAGAAGCACCGGCCCCCACACACAGCCUCCCGCCUGACCACCAAGCCUCAAAUGAAGACAUCAUCCCCUGUUCUGGUCUUCAGGGAAAGGGGGGGGGGGGCAGGGCAAGCAGGAAAACAAAAAUAUAAAUUGGAAAAAGAAAAGAAAAAUGCCAAAAGACCAAAUUGAAAAUAGCCUCAGGUUUUAUCCAUCCUUUGUAUUAUUUGCCUUGAAAACUUGACUUUUCCUUUUGUGCUAACGGUUGGCACCCAGAGACUUAGUCUCAGGAUGCUGUCCCUACAUGGGGGGGAGGGAAUUGGCAACUCACUUGCCUGUCUUUCUCUCAAGUAAACAGGUUUGCAACCAACAGUGCCUUGAAUUGUCUUUCCAAGAAGGAUUGGUCCUUCCCAGAUCGAAGGAAUACCUGGAUCCAUCGCCAGAAUGUGAUCCCAAGGGAGUCUCCAUCAACAGUGACCCAGGAAAACUAACAAUCAGCAGCAGCAGCUACCCGGGGGCAGUCCCUAUCUGCAUUUCCAGUCCAACCCAAUGGUGACAGAACGUCUAUCAACUACCCUGUCCUGUGUUCGAGGAAGAAGGCCUAAUGCACAGUUCAUCUUCCUGCUUCCAAGUGUUAUAGGAGAAGGAUAGACAACAAACGCCUGAAGACUGCCUGAUAACAAACAAGCAAACCAAUUUGUUCACUUUUCUGUGGAGUCAUACACGUAACAGCAUUUCCCCAAGCUGUAAAGCCCUGGAACCAUCCUACCUGGGUAAGAUACCUUGCCAAAGACACUAUUUCUAAUUCUGCCAAAGACACUAUUUCAGAUUGCCCACAAGGGGAGGGAGUCAAGGCUCCCAAACACAUGAACAUUUGAGCUUGUCUGUGGACACUAGCCAAACAAGCCAAAACAACACGGAUCAGGAUAGCCAAAAUCCUGCAACGUUUUACAAGAGCAUUUGGUUCUCAACUAAAGGACUAAAAUAUAUUUUUCCUUACCAAGGACUUUUAGAUUUUGAAUUCUAAAGCUCUCCAUGGCUUCCUUUUUGGCCAUGACAGACUUUAGAGGACACUAAGGGGGGUGGGAGUUGAUGAUUUGCACCACUUUCUUAUAUUACUUUCUUGUAGUGACUAUGUGCUAUCAUUAUGUUGAAAACCUUGCUAUCUCCUGUGCUGUAAGGACAUGGACCUCACUUGUUUCACUUACAUAUUGUGCCAAUCAUCUCAUUGUUUCAACCAAAGCAUUUACCUGCAAGUCUGCACCUAUCCCCAAGUUACUGUUCCCUUUUAUGCUCUAAGACAUUAAGCUGGCCCAAGCUUUACCUACAAUUUUAGAGACACUUGUAUUAAUCAGCAUGAUUAUACAUGACUUGUCAUUGCUAUCGCUUUCCACAAGCUGAUAACCCAUUAAUCACCAGAAGCAUCUGGUUCCACAAUGCAAGACUGUUAUUUAUACUUUAUUUGGGAUAAAGAUGGGUUAAAAUAAUGUUGCUUGCUAUAAGUUGUAUGAUCUUUAUAUGUACACUUUGCUGUUAUGUGUAAAAUUUUUAUAUAUAUCAAAUCAUGCCAGAUAUGGGUGGUUAAGGAUAUGUAUGCGUGAUGUAUAGAAUUAUAUAAUUAUGUUUGUAGCUCUAGAAUAUUGUAUGCAAUGUGCCUGCCAUAGCACAUACCAUUUCUGUAAAAACUAUGCUUAAUGCAUCACAAAUGUUUAAGGCAUCCCAAAACCACAUAUGUUCCAAACCCUUUAGCCACACGAAACACAAAGUUCCAUCAAUGGGCAAGAACUAUAUUCCAAGAUUAAGAGUUUGUGUGUUAGAAAGAACUACUGUUAAUAUUUUCAAACAGUUAGAACUUUCAUUAACUAAUAUGGAGAGCCUAUUGAUUUAUGGGCAAAGAAGAUAAUUCUGGUUGUAUUUUCUUUGUAUUAAUAAUCACAUGUUGCUGCUUACAAUGCAUUACAGCUUUAAACCAAAUGUUUAUGAGAACCUUUAAACCUUGCCAUAGUAUAAGACCCAUACAUACAGCUGUACCUUUACAAACUUUAAUUAAGACAUCCUGAAGAUUCAGGAUGAUGCAGUGUUUAAGGGGGGAAUUGAUGUGUUUGAAUAAACCAAAGUAACUACAUUUUACUUAGAAUACCAAAGCAUCUCCAAGUUUGCUUAGAAAACCUAAUUCUAACUUAAAGUAACCCAGCCCAGCUCAGGCCAGCUCAAGGACACGGCCUCACAUGAUUAUCUCUCUCCACUAAAUUGUAUCUAAAGAAACUUGGUUCUCACCGUUCUUUGCUGAGAAGUUCAUAAAACAGGAUGUAACCAAAUAAGGAGUGAUCACCAGAUGAACAAUGAAUCAUUCGCAUGCAUACUAGAUACUUAGUCCACCAUUUUACUGCCACGUAUACUAUGUCAGCAUCAUUCAGAUUGUCUGUAUAAAUGUAAGAUGCACCUAUAACCAAUUUGUAUUCAAUGUGGAGUGUGAGCCCCAUUGUCUACCUGCUUCUGCAGAGCAUUAAACCAAGCCUCUAAUUGA